GAUGAACGCUAGCGGCAGGCUUAACACAUGCAAGUCGAGGGGUAUUGGUUUUCGGACCAAGAGACCGGCGCACGGGUGCGUAACGCGUAUGCAAUCUACCUUUUGCAGAGGGAUAGCCCCAGAGAAAUUUGGAUUAAUACCUCAUAGUAUAGUACUUUGGCAUCAAGGAACUAUUAAAGUCACAACGGCAAAAGAUGAGCAUGCGUCCCAUUAGCUAGUUGGUAAGGUAACGGCUUACCAAGGCUACGAUGGGUAGGGGUUCUGAGAGGGAGAUCCCCCCACACUGGUACUGAGACACGGACCAGACUCCUACGGGAGGCAGCAGUGAGGAAUAUUGGACAAUGGGGCGCAAGCCUGAUCCAGCCAUGCCGCGUGCAGGAUGACGGUCCUAUGGAUUGUAAACUGCUUUUGUACAGGAAGAAACACUACUUCGUGAAGUAGCUUGACGUAU
rnacentral:rRNA from 1 species